rnacentral:rRNA from 15 species
CCCAGUAUCAAGCUUUACGGCGGAACUCUUCCCGCAACUCGAGCGCCUUUUCUUAGC